rnacentral:tRNA from 2 species
CGGGGUGUAGCGAAGCUUGGUAUCGCGCAACAUUCGGGUUGUUGAGGCCGCAGGUUCAAAUCCUGUCACUCCGA